rnacentral:snRNA from 1 species
AAAAAAAACAGAGUAGAUUAGCAUGGCCCCUGGGCAAGGAUGGCAUGCAAAUUCAUAAAGCAUUCCAUAUUUUU